UGUGUGUGUGUGUGUGUGUGUGUGUGUGUGUGUGUGUGUGUGUGUAUGUGUGUGUACGCGCGUGGAAUACUCAUAAAUCAUCACCACCACCAUCAUCACCACCACCACCACCACCGCCAUCACCACACAUGUCAUGAGUGCCAUUCGACUAACUGUCUUGUGGCGGCGUGGAGGGAAUUUUCUACCUGAAUGAGGAAGAGGAGGCGGAGGAGGAGGAGGAGUCAUUAUGGCCUUCUUUCCCUCCUUCCGCCACUACAAUAUGGCCUUACAGACACAGCGUUCGUAAUAAAUAAGAAGGUUACUUACGGUCAUUCCUCUGUGUGUGUGUGUGUGUGUGUGUGUGUGUGUGUGUGUGUGUGUGUGUGUGUGUGUGUGUGUGUGUGUGUGUGUGUGUGUGUGUGUGUGUGUGUUAAACCAACUUUUAUGACUUCAGGAUGUAGCGUACUUUUUGUACCUCUACUGUGUGUGUGUGUGUGUGUGUGUGAGAGAGAGAGAGAAAGAGAGAGAGAGAGAGAGAUUGGUUGAGAAUUUCUUGGUGCUGAAAGAGCUAGACUCAUAUGUUGGAGAGAGAGAGAGAGAGAGAGAGAGAGAGAGAGAGAGAGAGAGAGAGAGAGAGAGAGAGAGAGAGAGAGAGAACGGAAACAGAGACAGAGACAGAAUAAUGACUGAAAAUUAGAAAUAGUAAUUCUCAAUGCAACUGACUGAGUGUGAUUUAAAGAUGCAAUUUGAUUUCCAUGCCUUGUGUUUUGUUACUUGUGAUACUUUUAUAAGACAGCAGCGGCAGCAGCAGCAGAGUGAGUGAGCAAUAAGUGUGGAGGUGUCCCGGCACAAACCUUGGUACAGUAGUUGUAUUAGUAUAACCAAAUAUUGCCAAGUAUAUUUAGAUAAUCAGAAGUAAGACUGCAGUAAGUAAUCAAAUUAGGUAACUGACUUAGUGCAAUUAGUUAUGGGAAAGCAAUUACUUCAACUUAUCAUUCAAAUAUAUAUACCUGUACCACAAUCUUGCAUUGCUCAACUUGUCAAACUUCAAACCUGUGUCAAAUGAGAUGUAUACUGUGUGCAUGUGUUUUGUUGAGGGCAAAGUAAGGAAGUGGCCAUGCAAAUUACUUCUGUAACUUCAAAAAUACUUGUAUUUUAUAGAGUGUAGUAUAUGAAUUUUAUGUUGGUUGUGGUGUAGUAAUGGCAAGAGUGAAAAAGAUGUUCUGGCAAAAUAACUAUUCACAACUUUCAAAUUGUGUCAAAUUAAAUGUAUGUAAAUUUCUUCGACACUCAUGUGAUUUGCUGAUGGUGAGAGUGAAGGAGUAAAGGAGGGAUGGAAGGAAAGAAGGGUAAGGAUGUGCAAAAUAAUUAUAUCCCUUACUAAUCGUAAGUCAAUUUGUUUUCCCUUGUGUGGUUCAGUUGUGAUAAGAGUGAAGGAAGGAAAGAAAUAGUGGUGUAGUUAUUGGAAUGAAAGUGGAUUUGUAUUAAUGAAUCUCAACUCGUGUGGUUUGACAAAGAGGGCGAGGGAAGGAAGGAAGUGGUGGUGUAGUCAUUGCACUGAAAGCUGAUUGUGAUCAUUCCACUCACCUGACUCAGUAAUGGUCAGAGUCUGAAGGAAUGAUAGAAGUUUUCAAGCAAUUGUUUUACCAAAAGCUAAUAUUGUUAACUCUCUCCACUCAACUUAGCCACUCUGUAAUGAUUAGUCUUUGAAUGAAGGAACAAAGGCAGUGAGUGAGAGCUAAGAUUACUGAAUCACUCUCUACCAACAUGACUGAAUCUCUCCACGCAUCUCAGUAACUCUAACAAUUAAAUAAGGACAGUGUCCAAGCAGUUAUUUGAUUGAGGGCUAAUUCUACUGAAUCACUUCACUACAAAAAAUAUUUAUAGGUGCAGCACUAGUCAAAAGCCAAGUGUAUACAGUCUGCCAUGUAGUAUAUACAUAUAUAUGACUCAAAUACUAGUAGUAACUCAUCUUUCCAACCAUUACACUUAGUAGCUUUUCCAGUUUUGUAGCAAUACUCAAGUUUGCUUCCUGGUGAGUGCAUGCCUCACAUGCUGUGCUUCAUAGGGUCAGAAUGAGCUUCCCAUAGCCAUAGGCAGGCAGGCAGGCAGGCAGGCAGAUAGGUAGGCAGGCUCCACAAUGGUGCAUGGUUUGGCCAGUAAGACUCCUCUCUUUUCUACAUACAUAGAGACAAGGACAUUUCAGAAAGCAGUUAGAAGUACACAUGGCUGAAUUUGCUUUUAUUUCUGUCUUUAAUUCCCCAAUUACAGUGCAAAUGUUUUCCUGCAUCUCUAUAAUUUUUGUACUGCAGUGUCUUAAAUUAAUCGGAUGAUUAGAAAAGACAAGAUUGAUUUCCCUCCCUCUCCCACCUUACACUGUAUGUUGAUAUUGUGUCUUUGCAUCUGUCACCAUACGAAUAGUAUUUCUUACAGUGCUCUAAUUCUUAAUACAGGAAGAACUUACCAGUGAAAGGAUUAAAAUGUAUUUGUAAUGGAAGAGUAUAGAUUCUGGGUGACCAUUUAUCUUUGUGAUGGAAGUGCCUGCAUGUCAGUCUGUCUGUUAGCCUUGUGAGGGAUUGUAGUGAGCUGUGGUGGUGGCGUUUGGAGGGCAAAAAGUGUGUCUGCUGUUUGUACACUCUUUGGUGAUGCUCAAUAAAUGCAUGAUGUUGC